rnacentral:misc_RNA from 1 species
AACGCACAUUGCGCUCUCUGGUAUUCCGGAGAGCAUGCCCGUUUCAGAAUCAGCAAAUCAUCCUCAGAUGGUCUGGGCUUUUCCCGGCAACGGGAUCUCCCUGGACCGCUGGAUUUUGGACGCGUCGUUUCUCCCUUUCGGAGAAACUCGUCUCAAACGCAUGGGAAAAGCUGGGGUAGCCAUCCAAUGGACCUUGCAAAGCAGCAACAGUGACCUCUUCUGGUUCUCUCUUUACUCUUUGCUUCGAUCCAGGCACCUCGCGUUCAAUCGCAAGGCGUUUCCGAAUCGCCCUUCUCGCGAGGGCACCACUGAAAAGAACUUGGUCUGAAAUCGGGCAAGAAAACCCGCUGAACUUAA